CACUCUAAAGAGACUGCCGAUGACAAAUCGGAGGAAGGUGGGGAUGACGUCAAAUCAUCAUGCCCUUUAUGUCCUGGGCUACACACGUGCUACAAUGGUCGGUACAACGAGAAGCAAGUCAGCGAUGGCAAGCAAAUCUCUAAAAGCCGAUCCCAGUUCGGAUUGCAGGCUGCAACUCGCCUGCAUGAAGUCGGAGUUGCUAGUAAUCGCGGAUCAGAAUGCCGCGGUGAAUGCGUUCCCGGGUCUU
rnacentral:rRNA from 1 species